CAGUAAUAGCAGUUCAAUCUUCCUCGACAAUCGGGACAUUCUGGUGAAAUAUGAGGCAGAUAAUCACUAAACAGCGUCAAAAAAAAUAAAGAAUGAUAUUAAAUUGGUCUAGACAUAAAUCAGAAGUACCAAUUUCAUUGUAAUCAAUUUCAAAUUCAAGUUCAAUUUCAAGUUCUUGUGAAAGCACUCGCCGUUGCCGGGGAUGUGGAGGAGAUUUCGGCCGCGUGCUAAAGGGAAAACAGUUUCAAUGCAACCAAUCACAAAAGUCGAAGUGCCAAAGACCACCAAUAAGGAUAAAAUACCGCAAUGACAGCCCAUCUCUAACGCAAAUUGUGAUUUUAAAUCACAGUGUGCAUUUAGUCGGUUCAUUUCGGGCUUUACUUUUGUCAGAAGAAGACGAGUGCCGGAAAAGUUUGAGAUCUAAGGACAUGAGGAGCAUUUUCGUUUGGGGCUGCCUCCUGGCUGCACUUAUCGGACCGUGCAUGUCGGAUAUGUACUUACAUUUUCCACCGGGAUCUAAUAACCGCUUAAAUGGUGCUGACGUUAAUGUCCAAAACCCAAAUAGACUGUUUAAUUCGCAGAACAAUGGAAAAUGUGGAUACAAUGUUGGAGACAAUGCAGACACGGACCCAGGAGCAGGCUCUAUUCCAGAGUACAGACAGCUACCAAUGGUAAAUAGCCAGUAAUAACAGAAUGUUUUCUUUUUUACUUAAUUUUUGGAUUGGCUCUUAUCACAUUUAAUCUGUAAUUCAUACAUGUAUUUGUUCAUUCAUUUUUUCGUUCAUUUGUUUGUUAAUUCGUUCUUUUGAUAAUCCAUUAGCUGGCUCGUUCGUUCAAUUCUUUGUUCGUUCUUCGCUCGUUCGCUCGUUCUUUGUUCGCCCGUUCGUUCACUCAUUCAGUCAGUCCGUUGA